GAUGAAGAACGUAGCGAAAUGCGAUACGUAAUGUGAAUUGCAGAAUUCAGUGAAUCAUCGAAUCUUUGAACGCAUAUUGCGCUCUCUGGUAUUCCGGAGAGCAUGCUUGUUUGAGUAUCAGUAAACACCUCAACUCCCUUUUCUUUUUUGAAAUUGGAGCUGGACUUGAGUGAUCCCAACGCUUUCUUCCAAGAAAGUGGCGGGUUGCUUGAAAUGCAGGUGCAGCUGAACUUUUCUCUGAGCUAUAAGCAUAUCUAUUUAGUCCUCGUCAAACAGGAUUAUUACUUUUGCUGCAGCUAACAUAAAGGAUAAUUGUCCUCUUUGCUGACUGAUGCAGGAUUUUACGACACUUUAUGUGUUGUUCAACUCGAUCUCAAAUCAAGUAAGACUACCCGCUGAACUUAAGCAUAUCAAUAAGCGGAGGA
rnacentral:misc_RNA from 1 species